UUGGCACACGUGGCGGUGCCUGCCAAGGUUGCCAGGACUCGGGGAUGCAAGGAUGGAAGAGGGAAAAAGGAUGCUUUUUCCUCUCUCCCUCAUGUAUCUUGGGUAUCAGCUAGGAUGAGAAGGGAACCAGGGAUCCCUGCUUCCCUCUUUCUAGAUGCGUGGCCAACCACUGGGACUCCUUUGAAAAGUGCCUUCUUUUCCCUUUCUCCUCCUUUGUUCAGUUAGGUAAUUUUGUUUCCAUACUGCAGGACACUCCCUUCAGAUGCAUCCUCCAAACUGGAAAGAGUUAAUUUCCUAAACCUUCAACUGGUUGGCUUAGGAUUGGGCUCAGGGGAAGGGAACCCAGAAACUCAACAUGCCGGCAAAAGGGCCAUCAAAUUCCAAACAGGCAACCAGAGCCUCUGAAGAUGGCCCCUUCUUCUGGGGAUCCUCACAUAGGCCUCGGAGGAAGCUCUGACUGCCGUUUCCCCAAAACAGCGCCCCCGUCUGCAGAAAGUGGUUAAGAUUGGUCUUAGUCCUUAUCCUUAAUCUAACGGGAGUUAGAUAUACUUCUUUAGACGGGGGAAUGAGACAGCCAGGUGGGAGGGGGUCCCUGGAGAAACUCCAACCAGCCUGUCUACUGAGGUGGAGCCUGGGAAGUUUGAGCCCUUUGCAGUAGGGAGGAGCUGGCCUUGCCUCUUCCUGUGUGGAACCUGGGAUUCGGACGUCGGGCGGGAAGUGCUCUAGCAGGGGACUCUGGACUUGCGGAGGACCCCUGUUCCCCCCCUCAUUUUUCCCUGUUUCACCCAAUAAAACCCUGCUUUACUCACCCUUUAAA